GACAGCAGUCGCCGCGGUAAUACGUAGGGUGCAAGCGUUAAUCGGAAUUACUGGGCGUAAAGCGUGCGCAGGCGGUUAUAUAAGACAGAUGUGAAAUCCCCGGGCUCAACCUGGGAACUGCAUUUGUGACUGUAUAGCUAGAGUACGGCAGAGGGGGAUGGAAUUCCGCGUGUAGCAGUGAAAUGCGUAGAUAUGCGGAGGAACACCGAUGGCGAAGGCAAUCCCCUGGGCCUGUACUGACGCUCAUGCACGAAAGCGUGGGGAGCAAACAGGAUUAGAUACCCCCGUAGUCCCUGUCUCUUAUAC
rnacentral:rRNA from 1 species